rnacentral:snRNA from 1 species
UUGCUUCUGCAGCAUGUAUACUAAAAUUGGAAUAGUACCGAGAUUAGCAUGGCUCCUGUGCAAGGAUGACAUGCACAUUUAUGAAGUAUUACAUAUUUUU